CAAGUCGUACGCGAACGACCUUUCGGGGUUAAGUAGAGUGGCGAACGGGUUAGUAACGCGUGGGAACAUACACAGCACAGGGGGAUAACCAUUGGAAACGAUGGCUAAUAACGCAUACGCCCUAUUGGGGAAAGAUUUAUCGGUGUUGGAUUGGCCCGCGUUAGAUUAGCUAGUUGGUGGGGUAAUGGCUCACCAAGGCGACGAUUUAUAGCUGGUUUGAGAGGAUGAUCAGCAACACUGGAACUGAGACACGGUCCAGACUCCUACGGGAGGCAGCAGUCGGGAAUAUUGUGCAAUGGGGGCAACCCUGACACAGCCAUGCCGCGUGAGUGAAGAAGGCCUUAGGGUUGUAAAGCUCUUUCAGAUGCGAGGAUGAUGACGAUAGCAUCAGAAGAAGCUCCGGCUAACUUCGUGCCAGCAGCCGCGGUAAUACGAAGGGAGCUAGCGUUGUUCGGAAUUACUGGGCGUAAAGGGCGUGUAGGCGGAUUAUCAAGUUAGGGGUGAAAUCCCGGGGCUC
rnacentral:rRNA from 1 species